rnacentral:lncRNA from 1 species
UAAAAAAUAUGAAUAACAGAGAUACAUUAUGUAAACGUGCUGACUCAGGCAAAAGAUGUAAACCUCAUAUUUAAAGAUGUUCAGACACAAGCAAGAAAACAUAGGCAAUAUGCAGAUAAUAAACUAUCCAAAAGGAGAAUCCUGCUGAUUUGCUGAGUUGGACAGACUAUACUGGGUAAUGCAGAGCAGACACAAAGCACUGGACCUUUGUUCUCUUAAUUUUCAGGAAACCUAAGCCGUGCUACAACCAACGCACAUUUAGGCACAGACCAGCACUACUUAAACAAGCACUGGGAAGGGGGGAGCACACAAGAAGAAGAAAAAGGUUGUACCAGCAAUACCGAAAACAUUUUUCCAACACUGCCACAAGCUGAGAAAAUAUAUAGGUCUAGAUUAUCUUGUGAAGAUUCCAACUCCUGCCUGACCUGACGAUGGAUUCUGCACACAUACUGAUAAUCGACCUUGGACUUGUAAUGCUGUGUGAUCGAAGUAGUUAGAGCAUCGCUACAAGAUCAAGAACAUAGAUAGACAGAUUAGUAGAGUACAUGCAUACUCUCCAGAAUCCAUCAUAAAGAUUUGACAGGUUAAAAGAGCUAAGUAGUGGAGUUGAUUUGAUUAGUGACCUGACCCUCCUGUCCUGGUCAGGGCAAAUGUGAAGCUUAAACUUGCUACCUGCGUAGUUGCCGAGCUGCCAGCGACGCGCCGCCGGAGCCUCCCCUCGACGCGCCGCUCCUCCACGGCAAAGAACAGCGCUCGCCUGGCGGCCGUCGUCGGCUCGGUCGCCUACUCCGAUGCAUCGCCAGAUCUCGAGCUGCCCCGCAUUCCUCCCAGCGGUGGC